rnacentral:lncRNA from 1 species
GGGCACAUCUACCCGCUUCUGAAAGCCUCUGGGGUCCUGACAGAAGCAGCCUCGCUCCUCACGUUAGCACACUUCGCUAAGCAGCUAACGCUAAACCUACAGAACUACAGCAGCAUGUCUGGAAGAGAAGGCGGGAAGAAGAAGCCCCUGAAGGCGGCUAAGAAGCAGUCGAAGGACAUAGAUGAUGACGAUAUGGCCUUCAAACAGAAGCAGAAGGAAGAGCAGAAAGCGAUGGAUGCGAUGAAGGCCAAAGCAGCAGGAAAAGGACCUUUAAGUAUGUAUUUGAUGUAUUUUUAUUGUAUAUAUAUUUUUUUUCUUUAUAAUAAUAGUGCUGUAUAGACAGAAGUGGUGCGCUAGGUGUCAGUGUUGAGCUGGUGUAGAUACAGCUCUGCUGUUUGUUGAGUCAUUUGGCAUUACUCAGAGAACUCAGAACAUUUUGUAGCAUCAUUUAUUUGACUUAUUUUAUUAAUGCAAAAUAUUGUUUAUUGUUUUGUUAAAAUUAUAGAAAUUAUUGUGAAUUAAUUUCUUUUGAGCAUGCCAGUCCUGUGGGGGCGAUAGUAUCUCAUAAAAAGAGUCAGCAACACAUAGAGGUCUUCCAAGUUACACACUACUCUCUAAACUGUGCACAGUGGAAUUUAGUUUGAAAAUAUAAACAGAGUAUUACAGAGUAGAUUUGUAAUAUAACACAUUUAAACAUUACAUUGGUUCGUGCGUGGAAAUCUAAAAUCUAGCACUAAAUCUCUGUAUUCAGUGUAGUUUUAUGAGUACAAUCUCAAAUACUUUCGUAUUUCUUUUAUAGCAAACUACACAUGAAUCAUGAAACUCUGUCAGACAGCACUAGAUUCUCGUUCAAUUAAAAAUAUAUUCUGCUCUGUUCAGAUUUAAAAUCUAUAAUUUCCUGACGUUUCUCAGGGGGUUCUGGGGUAAUUUUCUCUUUUAUGUGGGUUUUCUUAUCCUCUGUGAUUUUAUUCUCGUCCAGAACGAUCAUCUAGGUGUUUUUCUCAGACGUCCUCUGAGAAAAUUACAGGCUGAAUUAUCUACUGUUUUUCUCUGAACUCCGUGCUCCUCCGGUAAUUUUAGUCCCGUCCGGACGCACAUCUCUGAGUUUCGUCUCCUCGCCUUUAAUAAAAUAGAUAUUUGUCCACUGCCGAGCA